GCCGGGGUAUUUGGAAUGGGCGAAGCCUGAUCCAGCCAUGCCGCGUGUGUGAAGAAGGCCUUUUGGUUGUAAAGCACUUUAAGCGAGGAGGAGGCUACUUGGAUUAAUACUCUAGGAUAGUGGACGUUACUCGCAGAAUAAGCACCGGCUAACUCUGUGCCAGCAGCCGCGGUAAUACAGAGGGUGCGAGCGUUAAUCGGAUUUACUGGGCGUAAAGCGUGCGUAGGCGGCUUCUUAAGUCGGAUGUGAAAUCCCUGAGCUUAACUUAGGAAUUGCAUUCGAUACUGGGAAGCUAGAGUAUGGGAGAGGAUGGUAGAAUUCCAGGUGUAGCGGUGAAAUGCGUAGAGAUCUGGAGGAAUACCGAUGGCGAAGGCAGCCAUCUGGCCUAAUACUGACGCUGAGGUACGAAAGCAUGGGGAGCAAACAGGAUUAGAUACCCUGGUAGUCCAUGCCGUAAACGAUGUCUACUAGCCGUUGGGGCCUUUGAGGCUUUAGUGGCGCAGCUAACGCGAUAAGUAGACCGCCUGGGGAGUACGGUCGCAAGACUAAAACUCAAAUGAAUUGACGGGGGCCCGCACAAGCGGUGGAGCAUGUGGUUUAAUUCGAUGCAACGCGAAGAACCUUACCUGGUCUUGACAUAGUAAGAACUUUCCAGAGAUGGAUUGGUGCCUUCGGGAACUUACAUACAGGUGCUGCAUGGCUGUCGUCAGCUCGUGUCGUGAGAUGUUGGGUUAAGUCCCGCAACGAGCGCAACCCUUUUCCUUAUUUGCCAGCGGGUUAAGCCGGGAACUUUAAGGAUACUGCCAGUGACAAACUGGAGGAAGGCGGGGACGACGUCAAGUCAUCAUGGCCCUUACGACCAGGGCUACACACGUGCUACAAUGGUCGGUACAAAGGGUUGCUACCUAGCGAUAGGAUGCUAAUCUCAAAAAGCCGAUCGUAGUCCGGGAUUGG
rnacentral:rRNA from 1 species